rnacentral:rRNA from 1 species
GAUGAACGCUAGCGGCAGGCUUAAUACAUGCAAGUCGAGGGGCAGCAUAGUGUAGCAAUACAUGGGUGGCGACCGGCAAACGGGUGCGGAACACGUACAGAACCUUCCUUCGAGCGGGGAAUAGCCCAGAGAAAUUUGGAUUAAUACCCCAUAGGAUAGUGGAGUGGCAUCACUCGGCGAUUAAAGAUUUAUCGCUUGAAGAUGGCUGUGCGUCUGAUUAGGUAGGUGGUGGGGUAACGGCCCACCAAGCCAGCGAUCAGUAACUGGUGUGAGAGAACGACCAGUCACACCGGCACUGGAAAACGGGCCCGACUCCUACGGGAGGCAGCAGUAAGGAAUAUUGGGCAAUGGACGCAAGUCUGAACCAGCCAUGCCGCGUGGAGGAUGAAGGCCCUCUGGAUUGUAAACUUCUUUUAUCUGGGACGAAAAAAGGCCUUUCCAGGUCGUCUGACGGUACCAGAUGAAUAAGCACCGGCCAACUCCGUGCCAGCAGCCGCCGCCG